rnacentral:rRNA from 1 species
UGGGAAUUUUGGACAAUGGGGGCAACCCUGAUCCAGCCAUCCCGCGUGUGCGAUGAAGGCCUUCGGGUUGUAAAGCACUUUUGGCAGGGAAGAAACAGCCUGGGAUAAUACCCCGGGCGACUGACGGUACCUGCAGAAUAAGCACCGGCUAACUACGUGCCAGCAGCCGCGGUAAUACGUAGGGUGCAAGCGUUAAUCGGAAUUACUGGGCGUAAAGCGUGCGCAGGCGGUUCGGAAAGAAAGGUGUGAAAUCCCAGGGCUUAACCUUGGAACUGCACUUUUAACUACCGAGCUAGAGUACGUCAGAGGGGGGUAGAAUUCCACGUGUAGCAGUGAAAUGCGUAGAGAUGUGAGGAAUACCGAUGGCGAAGGCAGCCCCUGGGAUGAUACUGACGCUCAUGCACGAAAGCGUGGGGAGCAAACAGGAUUAGAUACCCUGGUAGUCCACGCCCUAAAACGAUGUCAACUAGCUGUUGGGGUUUAUUAA